CCGAGUCUUAACGAUGUCACCACCAUCUUCAAGGAAUUCAGUCGUUCCUUGGAUGCCAGAAAGCCCAAGCCUUCUCCUAAACCAUCCACUUCGUCGUCGACUUCCUCCGGCGCUUCCAAAAAACGCGGCGGCAAGUCCGCUGCCCGUGCGGCGCUGAGAGCGACGAUGCGGAUGGAGACGGCUCUGGAAUCCUACACAGUGAUGUGCGCUUCGAACGCUCCUGUACGUGGGAGCCCGACGAGAAGCCCUGUUGGCUCAUGUCUGACGUGGAGCUGUGGAACCGCAUCCUCACCAAGAACUGCAUCGAACUGCGCGAGUACAUGUGGGGUGAGCUCGUGCUCCAGGGCUACGAGUGGCCCGAACAGAAACCGGGACAACAAGACAUGCUUCGUGCCUCGCUACUCAUGCAUGUGCUGCUACGACAACACAGGUGUGUUACGUACAUAUGCUUCGACAUGGCUGAAACGGUAAUCGAGAGAUACGUGAUGUGGCACGCCGUCAAGACUGGCGCCGGGGGUGUCAAGCGGCUGGAGUACAAGCCGAACGCCAUCGACGUCGUUUGUCUGAUCCCGUUGACCGAGUCAACAUCUUGUUGCGAGGCUAUCGCAAGCAUGACGAACAUGACCUUGCUCAGCAUUUCGAGUAUGUACUUCAGCAAUAUAGUGGUGAGUGUGAUCGGCGGCUACGUGGAGCAGGCCACUUCGCUCACUGAACUGGAGUUACUUCACAUUGAGGCUGAUGACACAAACGCUGGCCUCUUCCUGGACCACUUGGCUCGCAACCGGAGUGUGAAGUCUUUGAUUGCGCACGAACUCUUCCUGCUCGCGCGGGAAGGCAGGGCUCUCGCAGAUGUCGUCCUAAACCACGCGACCCUGGAGCAACUUCAUGUGAAGGGAUCUCUGCACCAUAGCCCGUCUGCCCUCUUGGCAGCGGCAGCUCACAGCCAGUCGUUACGGUCGCUUACAGUGGAGGAAUCCUUUAUUGACGCCGCGGACAUCGAAACCCUGGCCUCCGCGCUGACGAUACCCAGUCAGCCUCCCGAUUGCGACGAAGAAGAGAUGCGACCUCCGCCAACGAGCCGACUCCGAAAACUCUCCUUUAGGACUUGUGGGCCCUUUGACUCGGAACUGGAGGCAGCGUAUGCGAAGCUCAUUGGAGGUGUCCUGGUUGAGCUCACACUGGCUGAAUGCGGCCUUGGCGGAACGUUCGCGUUGCGUGCCGCGAGAAGACUGCUCCACUACAGCCAGCUGCGUGAACUCAACGUGGAAAAAAACACGUUCUCAAUCUACUCGCUAAGGAACUUUGUAGAAGUCCUACAGGUUAACAAGACGCUAAAGGGGCUGGUGGUCAACAUGACUGCCGAGCACUCGGAGGAAGAUGUGUCUUCGCUGUUCGAAAUGAUCCGCCAGAUCAACGCUUUCCCCCGCCUGUGGUUUCAAUGGGUCUAUCCUAGGGCUUCGGAUUUUCCGAAGAGCACCCUCACAGGUCGUACGCCCUCAGUUUGCAUAAACCUGGACGGGUACGGAGAAGAGGAGGCGGCAGGGGCACUGCGCGCCAUUGCCAGCAAUCGCAACCUCGAUGUGGCCUCGAUUGAAUGCUGUACGAAGGCGGAGCCCGCCGUGCUUCAGAGACUGGCUGACUCCCUCGCAAGCACCAAGUCUCUUAAGCAUUUGAAUGUGAGCCUGGUCAAUUUAGCCGAUGUCCACGUGGUCAACCUGUUUCGAGCCCUCGAAAGCAACCGGACCAUCUUUAUGAUGGUCUUCAAUGCCAUCACCUUUGGCAAGAAAAACGCUAAGGCGCUGGGGCGAUUGGUCGAGCGCAACCGAUCUUUCAUUUUUCUCACCGUGAAUCUUCAGCAUAGUGAUUCCGGCGUGGACCGUAUGGUUCAGGUCCGCAAUAUCUGCCGGGAACUCAAGGAAGCGCUUCGUCGGAACCGCUUCAUUUUAAACGUAAACGUAAGCACAGAGCGUUCUAUACCUUCCAACGACCCUGCCAUCAGGGAGACUCUCAGGCAAAACUCGAUGCUCGUCAACCAAGCCAUCCGAUUCGUCAAUGGGUCCAUGGACAAGACUGAUGCCCUGGCCUUCGAGGCCUUGCAGCACUGUGAGUCGGUGCCCAUAAGGAUGUACUCGUAUUCCAACAUUUCCUACGAGUCAGCGGUCGAGAAGGUCGCUGAGGCGCGCGAAAGGCUCGCUUUGAACUACUUCGUCCUCGCUGGCAUCGUCAAAGCCGAGAUCGCGUGCCAGCGGAAUCGCAAGGCAAAGAAGAAAAGGACCUUGCUCGACAACAUCAGCCGAGUCAUGCAGGCGCGCAUCUGCUCCUACCUCAGCUUGACCGAUGUCGUGGACAUCUGAGGGGCCACAGUUUUUAUUUUUAUCCUUGGUGGGGCCUCAACCCUCCAUCUGUUGACAACGGCGCCAUCGUACGUCUGGCCUCGAGCGAAGUUUAAGCGCGUGCAAACUCAAAUACAGAACCAGCUGUAAAAGAAACUCCCUCACCAGAUACGUUCGUACUUUGCACGCUUUUUAACAGGCAGCGGUUCAGAUCAAGCGACGCGUUUUAAUUGACAAGUUGGAGAAACUUUUUAUUGUUGGUUGAUGCUGUUGCAUUUUCAGAGCGACAUGAACGCGCCACGAUUUCAUAUUUACGCAAGUCAUAUCAGUGUGCUGGACAUUCGACUUUCCCGCAUUCGUUACGCCACUACCUUUCAUUUUUCUGUUUAUUUUAGCACCAUAACAACAGUCA
rnacentral:misc_RNA from 1 species